rnacentral:lncRNA from 1 species
GGUUAGUUUUGGGCCUCAAGGCCCAAUGGGCUUCGAACGUCAAGCCCAUUGACUUAAGUUGUAUGAUAACUUAAUGACUAAUAAUUCACAAAGGCCCAAAUAGCCCAAUAAAACCCUAUGGCCGGCCAUAUAGAUAAGGGAGUGGGUUUUGGACUUAUUACAAGUUUGCCACUCCAAUGAAGGUAGAUAUAAAUAUGACUUUAUAGCUAUUUCUUCAUUAGGGUUUCUUUUGGAGAAAAUAUGAGAACACAAACUCUCUUUUCUCUCUAAGAGGCCGGCCACCCUAGAGGAACAUAGCUAGCAAUCUUACUUCCUUUAGGUCACUCAUUUCUUCAUCAAUCUUUCCUUGGUGUGGAGAUUUAGAGGUUCUCAACUUUGAGAACUUGGAGAAACCAAUUCUUCCAUCCAAAUCCAUGGAGCUAAGAAGCAAGGAAUGAAUGCCCUAUCUCUUGGGUGAUUAUCCUUUGCUUAUGCAAAGAGGAAUCAACAAAGGUAUAAUUUCUCAA